GACGAACGCUGGCGGCGUGCCUAAUACAUGCAAGUCGAACGAGAGCGACCGGUGCUUGCACUGGUCAAUCUAGUGGCGAACGGGUGAGUAACACGUGGGUAACCUGCCCAUCAGAGGGGGAUAACAUUCGGAAACGGAUGCUAAAACCGCAUAGGUCUUCGAACCGCAUGGUUUGAAGAGGAAAAGAGGCGCAAGCUUCUGCUGAUGGAUGGACCCGCGGUGCAUUAGCUAGUUGGUGAGGUAACGGCUCACCAAGGCCGUGAUGCAUAGCCGACCUGAGAGGGUGAUCGGCCACAUUGGGACUGAGACACGGCCCAAACUCCUACGGGAGGCAGCAGUAGGGAACCUUCCGCAAUGGACGCAAGUCUGACGGAGCAACGCCGCGUGAGUGAAGAAGGUUUUCGGAUCGUAAAACUCUGUUGUUAGAGAAGAACAAGUGCUAGAGUAACUGUUAGCGCCUUGACGGUAUCUAACCAGAAAGCCACGGCUAACUACGUG
rnacentral:rRNA from 1 species